rnacentral:tRNA from 1 species
AAAAUGGUGGUUCAGUGGUAGAAUUCUCACCUUCCAUGUGGGAGACCCAGGUUAAAUUCCUGACCAAUGCA